rnacentral:rRNA from 1 species
GUCCACGCCGUAAACGAUGGGUGCUAGACGUUGGCGAGCUUGCUCGUCAGUGUCGCAGCUAACGCGUUAAGCACCCCGCCUGGGGAGUACGGCCGCAAGGUUGAAACUCAAAGGAAUUGACGGGGGCCCGCACAAGCGGUGGAGCAUGUGGUUCAAUUCGACGCAACGCGCAGAACCUUACCAGCCCUUGACAUGUGACUCGCCGGUACCAGAGAUGGUACCUUCGGUUCGGCCGGAGUCAGCACAGGUGCUGCAUGGCUGUCGU